UAAAAUUAUUAAUUUAUUUUAUUUUCUCGAUUUAAAAAGAUCUAUAAAUUUAUAAAUUUUAUUGUAAUAUAAAUAUUUUUAAUAAUUUUAUAGAAAUGAAACGUUAUUCGUAUUUUAAUAUAUCUAGUUUUUUAAGAAAUAAAUUUAAUUUAUAAGGUUUAAUAUAAUAUUAUAAUUUUUUAUUAUAUUAUUUAGACUUAGAAAUAUUUUUAGGGAUAAGCUUAAAAAUUUAUAAUUAGAAAAUAUUUUUUUUAAAAAUAUAAUGUAGGAUUAGAAAUUUUUAUCAUUAUAAAGAAUGUUAUAAUAAAAUAUUUUUAAAAAUUUAUUUUUAUUAAUUUUAAUUAAUUAUUAGAAUAAAAAAUUUAAUUUUUAUAUUUUUAUAAUAAUGGUUUAAUUAGUAUAAUAUAAAUUAAUAAUAUUUAUUGAAUGAAAGGUUUAUUUAAGGAAUUCGGCAAAAUUAUUCUUGCCUGUUUAUUAAAAACAUGGUUUUUUGAAAUUAUUUAAAAUUUGGCCUGCUCAAUGAUUAAUUAAAUAGCUGCAGUAAAUUGACUGUACAAAGGUAGCAUAAUCAUUAGUUAUUUAAUUGAUAACUGGAAUGAAAGGUUGGACAAGGGAUUAACUGUCUUAAAAAAAUUUUUAUAGAAUUUUACUUUUAAGUAAAAAGGCUUAAAUUUAUUUAAAAGACGAGAAGACCCUAUAGAGUUUUAUAUAAAAUAAAAUAUUUAUUAAAAAUAAUUUUUUAAAAAUUUUUUAUUUUAUAUUUUAUUGGGGCGAUAGAAAAAUUAAUUAAACUUUUUUAAAUUUUUUUCAUUAAUUUAUGUUUAUUUGAUUCAUGUAUAAUGAUUAAUAGAUUAAAUUACCUUAGGGAUAACAGCGUAAUUUUUUUAAAAGUUCAUAUUAAAUUAAAAGAUUGCGACCUCGAUGUUGGAUUAAAAUUUUAAUUAGGUGUAGAGGCUUAAUUGGUGGGUCUGUUCGACCCUUAAAAUUUU
rnacentral:rRNA from 1 species